AGCAGUUAUUGUACCAGUGUUGAGGUUUAUAUCAGUUUUGGCAUAUCCAGGGCAAACAGAGUUGAUGCAGAAAUCUGGGUACUUGUUUGCCAGAAUCCUUGUAUAAGCAUUCAAUGCUACUUUUGAGACAGUAUAGGCAGAGAUGAAGGUUGGCCAUCCUUUACUUCCAUGUAAACCCUCCUUAAAAUCUUUUAGAUACUCAGUUAUUAAGUCAUUCAGUUUCUCCUCUGUUGUAACACCUGUUAACACUCCUUUAAGCUUUUCACCUUUACCCUGUAACAAAGAAACUUUUCCAUCAGCCAUUUUUGAAGCUUAUGAUCUGAAAUGGGAUUUUACAGGAACUCGGGAUUCUACCUUCAGCAUGACUAUAGAGGAGGAAACGUUUACGAUCCUUGGUAAGUCGGAUAGUUGCAGCAAUGGAAUAAGUGCUUCGGCAGUUCUUUUAGCGCCAUUGUAGUUUGUUUUUAGGCAUUCUUCGGCUAACUCGUAAUUGUCAUCAGUCGCUUUACUCCAUAUAUCACGCGAAUUUACCUACAUUUGUAACAAGCUAUCAUGACACAAUCCCAUCCAACUACGUCUUUGUUGUUUCUUCGAGUACCUAUAAAUCCAUCAAAGUUUUACCACUCUCAUAUGUACGAAGACGGGUUUUUACCACUCUCAUAUGCACGAAGACGGGUUUGAUUCCACUCCAUUAUUUUUUUAUCUAUUAAUAUUCAAUGCAUGUUUCAUAGUACAUUACAAAUUGAGAGGGAUGUCAUAGCCAAAACUUGAAUCCUAAACCUUUAAUGCCAACAUAGAGUUCUUAACCACCAUCUCCUUUUGAGUUAAAGAGAAAUAAUAAGAC
rnacentral:lncRNA from 1 species